rnacentral:rRNA from 1 species
AGGCAAUGAUGCGUAGCCGAACUGAGAGGUUGAUCGGCCACAUUGGGACUGAGACACGGCCCAAACUCCUACGGGAGGCAGCAGUAGGGAAUCUUCCACAAUGGGCGAAAGCCUGAUGGAGCAACGCCGCGUGGGUGAAGAAGGUCUUCGGAUCGUAAAACCCUGUUGUUAGAGAAGAAAGUGCGUGAGAGUAACUGUUCACGUUUCGACGGUAUCUAACCAGAAAGCCACGGCUAACUACGUGCCAGCAGCCGCGGUAAUACGUAGGUGGCAAGCGUUAUCCGGAUUUAUUGGGCGUAAAGGGAACGCAGGCGGUCUUUUAAGUCUGAUGUGAAAGCCUUCGGCUUAACCGGAGUAGUGCAUUGGAAACUGGGAGACUUGAGUGCAGAAGAGGAGAGUGGAACUCCAUGUGUAGCGGUGAAAUGCGUAGAUAUAUGGAAGAACACCAGUGGCGAAAGCGGCUCUCUGGUCUGUAACUGACGCUGAGGUUCGAAAGCGUGGGUAGCAGACAGGAUUAGAUACCCUGGUAGUCCACGCCGUAAACGAUGAAUGCUAAGUGUUGGAGGGUUUCCGCCCUUCA